AAAUACACAAAAUAAUAAAAAAUAUAAAUAAUAACAACAAAAAAUAAAAACAAAUAAAGAAAAGAAAGAAAAGAGAAAAAAAAAGGUGGUGUUUAAUACAUUACAACCUGAAAAAUAAAGUGAGACUUACAUGUCAUUAAAGAUAGGAAAAUAGUUACAGAUAAAUUAUUUAAUUUUUUUUUCGUUCCGAAACAACUGAAUCAGUAAAAGGGUAUUGCUAAAAUAAUUGUAUAAAAACAACAAAGAGAUGUCUGGAGUCUAAAUAUUUCCAUCUUCUGUGGAUGUGAAAUUUAUCAAGAAGCAAAAUCAGAUUCACUGCAUAAAACUGUUUCCUUUUAGAUUGUUCAUACUCAAUAAAAGCCAAUACUACAUCCUUUCAAAACAGAACAGGCUACAUUCAUUAUAAAGUUACUCCUGAUAAAACUCAACACAUCUUGCCAGAAUUUCUUUGUAAAUGGACAGUUCCAAGAAACAUUUCAACAGAGUCAUCACAAAAAGAGCGACCAUAACCAUGGAAACAGUUUUCUCCUCUCUUACUGGCCAAUUCAACAACUCAGCCGACCAACCCAGCUUCCGCUCUGCUCGGUGUGAGCCAAUGGCGUGCGAGGCUCAAAUCCCAGCGAGCGCUGACGUCACUCGUCCGGAGUGCGGAGUAUGGCAGUGGAUUCAUGAGCUCCGACAGAAGAACACUUCUUCUCCACGAGCUUUGAUAUGGAAACAAUCUGGCUGGAUUAAACUAGUGCUCCGAGAGAUCCAGGGAUCUUGGCUGGAGUCCAUGCCUUCACAAGCUGUUGAGGAAUCCCUACAUGACGCUGAUGUUUAGUGUUGUCUUUGUAGUGAACUAGCCAGAGACUAAAAUAAGUGCACGCUGAAUUCACCACAGCUUACGGUCUUAAGAACUGGAAUGAAGAAUGGAUGUUAAAGGUGGAGUUAAAUCACAAUAGGACAGAACUGACAGGAAGUGAAGUGGGAGAAAGAGGGGGGCAGGAUCGAGGUCCUGGAGUGAGGAUUUGAGAGGAACGGCGCUGUAUGUCAGCAAGGCUAUCUGCGACGACAGGAUAUUUCAAUCUGAGCGUCCGGACAUGCUGUUGUGAGACUCAGAACUACUCUUCAGUAAGGGUUGCAAGCUCAAGAUGAUCAGAAUAGCACUGAACUCUGAUAAACACACACACACACACACGUCUGACUGUGGAGAAGGAGGUUUCAUGAAGCGCAGUCUGGCUCGUGUUCACUUCUUCUGUUACUGUAGCCUGUGUUUUCAUAAGUUUCCAUGAGGCCAACCACAAGCACUAGACCAGCAGAAUUCAUUCUGAGAUGGGUAAUAUGUUCCUGCUUUUUUCAGCAUCUUUUCUAGGAAGAGAUUUGUGUAUUCUGCCUGAACUGAACAUUAAUACUGCUGUCUCUUUCUUUCUGGAGUUUAUUGACAACACACUAUUCAGUUUUCUACAACUUCUGACUUCUGUAAUGUUUGCUUUAAUGAAAAGACCAAUCUCAAUCUGACUAGCUCGGUGUAAACAGACGUCAGUUUGGGAAUAGAGCUGAAGACUGCUAGCACAUGUUGAUAAUUACUUCACAACUUAACAGUAAUGACCUUUGGUUACCAAAAUAUGAUGAGAAAAAAGCAGCUGCUAGAUUAUAAUAAUGUAUUAUUAAUGCUUUUAACAUCAGCAAACAUCUACAGUACACAGAAUAAUAUUGCUUCAUAUAAUCCAAUUAUAGUCAUUAGACAAUAAUGCUGAGGAUUGUCUUUUAAGUUGUCUUUUAAAACCAUUUAAAAGCUAAAUAUAAACUGAAUGAAGAGUUUGGUUGUGAAUACACUCUUCCUGUAGCAGCAUGCUAAAAUAAAAGAAAACUAAGACAAUGUCUUGGAGAGUUAAACUAGUUUUAAAACCAGAUGAAAAGAAAAUGCAGAUAUAGACUGACACAGAAAAACUGUUUUGUCAUGAAUUGUUCUGUUUAGAUGACAGGUUUUCAUAGAUUAGAGGAACCGUACAGGCAGAAGUCAGAGAGGACCGCAGUUCAUGGUUUCUUUGUCCUUGACUAUAUCUGAAGUGUGAUCGUCUCAGCCUGACGUCCUUGUCCUCGAUCAGUGCUGAGUGCCUUCAGAGAUCCACACAGAAGAGCAGAAGCACUCAAUCUCAACCCAGAGAAGAACUGAAUGUUUACAGCUGUGGACAGAGUCAUUGUUAAUCUCAUUCUCAGUACACGCUGGUGAUUGAAGAGCUAUUAUUCCCCUUUUAUGCAGUAUUCUUUGUACGCUCCAUGUGCCAAGUUAACAGCUCUGAAUCCUUUUAUUAACGUAGUAACAACUACAACUGAUGUCACGUGAACUAUUACAACCUUUCUGGGCUUUGAACCUGGUAGCUGCAUUGCUGCAUGUUCUAGAUCAGAAAGCUCUCGGAUUUCAUCAACAAUAUCUUCAUUUGUGUUCCGGAGGAGGUUUGGAACAACAUGAAGGCGAGUAGUCAAGGACAGAAUUUUUUUAUUUUUGGGGAGCUGUCCCUUUAAUUAUUGCUUCAAUACUUUUAUUUCCGUACUGUUCUGAUCACAGCUGUAUGUAUUGAGAGCUGCAGAUAUGAGUUAUGACUUGCUCUUCUGAAGAAACACAUUCCACCAGCUUCACUCACACACACUUCCACUGAUUCAUUACCCACUGUUCACCUCAGGGGCAUCAGAUCUGUGUUUCAGUCAACCUCUCCUGAUGUACCAGCAGUACCUUUACAAUAGUCCGAAAACACUGGCAUCUAGUCUGUCAAAUCUCCCAAGUUACAGAGUCUUAAUGCCACAUUCUGUCGUCUAUUACUGACCCACAUGCUAGGGUAAAAAAAAAAAAUCAGCCUUCAACGAUUAUGAAAAUACAAUUAUUGCGCGGUAACUGUAAAAAAUAAAAAGGUGACAGGGUCAUCUAACUUCUAAUAUCAACAUUACAUUUCAAGAUAAAAACUCUUUAAAUCUACACUUUACACCACAAUAUGGGCGUUUUGAAAAUGAUGUGGCUUUUCCAUGAAGUGAGUUGUGUGGUCAGCUGUCUAGAACACUGAAUGAUAAAAACUGUGAGACGUCCGUUUAGCAUCAGCUCUGAGAAUCUUUGUCGUUAUAUUAUAAGAGCUGUUUCAGCUCAUGACAGUGUGUUGAUCGCCCUGUGAUUGAUGACCUGAGCUUUAGCUGCUGGCUGACAUCUGCUCCAGGAGUCCAAGCGUCACGUGUCCACUCUAGGGGAGGUUUUUCUCCAUUGUUUUUACAGUGUUACAAUUCAGGAAAUCGUUGAUAUGAAUGUUUGAAAUGUAUUGCUGAAAACACCUCUCAAAGUCUAACUCUAGUAGCCUACUGACCUGUGGAGUUAGGGUGUCAAGUCACCUUUAUUUAUAUAGCGCUUUAAACAAAAUACAUUCCAACUGAACAACAUUCAUUAGGAAAACAGUGUGUCAAUAAUGCAAAAUGAUAGUUAAAGGCAGUUCAUCAUUGAAUUCAGUGAUGUCAUCUUUGUUCAGUUUAAAUUGUUCAGUUUAAAUAAUUUGCAAUCAAGUCAAUGAUAUCGCUGUAGAUGAAGUGACCCCAACUAAGCAAGCCAGAGGCGACAGCGGCAAGGAACCGAAACUCCAUCGGUGACAGAAUGGAGAAAAAAACCUUGGGAGAAACCAGGCUCAGUUGGGGCCAGUUCUCUUCUGACCAGACGAAACCAGUAGUUCAAUUCCAGACUGCAGCAAAGUCAGAUUGUGCAGAAGAAUCAUCUGUUUCCUGUGGUCUUGUCCUGGUGCUCCUCUGAGACAAGGUCUUUACAGGGGAUCUGUAUCUGGGCUCUAGUUGUCCUGGUCUCCGCUGUCUUUCAGGGAUGUAGAGGUCCUUUCUAGGUGCUGAUCCACCAUCUGGUCUGGAUACGUACUGGAUCUGGGCGACUGCAGUGACCCUCUGAUCUGGAUACAGACUGGAUCUUGUGGCUACGGUGACCUCGGAACAAGAGAGAAACAGACUAAUAUUAGCGUAAAUGCCAUUCUUCUAAUGAUGUAGCAAGUACAUCGGGUGUUAUGUGAAGUGUUUCUGGUUCUGGUUUACCUAAUUAAUGCAGCCUAAAAAUCCCUUAACGGAUUUGGAUAUUAACAGCAUAUUAGUAUGUUAUGUGUAUGCCAGGUUAAAGAGAUGGGUCUUUAAUCUAGAUUUAAACUGCAAGAGUGUGUCUGCCUCCCGAACAAUGUUAGGUAGGUUAUUCCAGAGUUUAGGAGCCAAAUAGGAAAAGGAUCUGCCGCCCACAGUUGAUUUUGAUAUUCUAGGUAUUAUCAAAUUGCCUGAGUUUUGAGAACGUAGCGGACGUAGAGGAUUAUAAUGUAAAAGGAGCUCAUUCAAAUACUGAGGUGCUAAACCAUUCAGGGCUUUAUAAGUAAUAAGCAAUAUUUUAAAAUCUAUACGAUGUUUGAUAGGCAGCCAGUGCAGUGUGGACAGGACCGGGCUAAUAUGGUCAUACUUCCUGGUUCUAGUAAGAACUCUUGCUGCUGCAUUUUGGACUAGCUGUAGUUUGUUUACUAAGCGUGCAGAACAGCCACCCAAUAAAGCAUUACAAUAAUCUAACCUUGAAGUCAUAAAUGCAUGGAUUAACAUUUCUGCAUUUGACAUUGAGAGCAUAGGCUGUAAUUUAGAUAUAUUUUUUAGAUGGAAAAAUGCAGUUUUACAAAUGCUAGAAACGUGGCUUUCUAAGGAAAGAUUGCGAUCGAAUAGCACACCUAGGUUCCUAAUUGAUGACGAAGAAUUGACAGAGCAGCCAUCAAGUCUGAGACAGUGUUCUAGGUUAUUACAAGCAGAGUUUUUAGGUCCUAUAAUUAACACAUCCAAUUUUUUAUAUCGACUAUGCAUACCAUUAGUUUUUCAAAUUGGUGUGUUUCACCGGGCCGCGAAGAAAUAUAGAGCUGAGUAUCAUCAGCAUAACAGUGAAAGCUAACACCAUGUUUCCUGAUGAUAUCUCCCAAGGGUAACAUAUAAAGCGUGAAGAGUAGCUGCCCUAGUACUGAGCCUUGAGGUACUCCAUACUGCACUUGAGAUCGAUAUGAUACUUCUUCAUUCACUGCUACGAACUGAUGGCGGUCAUAUAAGUACGAUUUAAACCAUGCUAAUGUACUUCCACUGAUGCCAAAAAUGUGUUCCAGUCAAUGCAAAAGAAUGUUGUGGUCAAUUGUGUCAAACGCAGCACUAAGAUCCAAUAAAACUAGUAGAGAGAUACACCCACGAUCAGAUGAUAAGAGCAGAUCAUUUGUAACUCUAAGGAGAGCAGUCUCAGUACUAUGAUACGGUCUAAAUCCUGACUGGAAAUCCUCACAUAUAUCAUUUUUCUCUAUGAAGGAAUAUAAUUGUGAGGAUACCACCUUUUCUAGUAUCUUGGACAGAAAAGGGAGAUUCGAGAUUGGUCUAUAAUUAACUAGUUCUUUGGGGUCAAGUUGUGGUGUUUAGGGUAGGGUGUUUUCAAUGUAAUAACCAUGCAAGUAAAUCAUGGUCUGAAUCAUGUCUAUAUUAGCUCUUUUUAUCAUUUAACAAAGAUAAGAAAAGCUGACGUUAGAUUCCAUGAUGUGUAACUCUAAACAGGCCGUCGUGUG
rnacentral:lncRNA from 1 species